rnacentral:rRNA from 1 species
GUAAGGUGGAGCUAAUCCCUUAAAGCUACUCUCAGUUCGGAUUGUAGGCUGAAACUCGCCUACAUGAAGCUGGAGUUACUAGUAAUCGCAGAUCAGAAUGCUGCGGGGAAUGCGUUCCCGGGUCUUGGACACACCGCCCGUCACACCACGGGAGUUGGAGACGCCCGAAGCCGAUUAUCUAACCUUUUGGAAGAAGUCGUCGAAGGUGGAAU